GAGGGUGGGACAAGCAAUUCAGUUCGUGCUCUGUGCUGGCUUCAGCGCAAAACCGAUAAUCCCAACGAUGCCAUGCGUAUAUAAUCCCGCAAUCGGUGACUGUCACAGUAGCCACUUGCUUGUUUUCCCCCAUCUUGGUUUUCUGGUAGUGUGCACUCGGUCUGACUUCAGAGCCACAGGGCACCAAACCCUGGCCAGGAGGUCCCAUGGCUCUUGGUGCUGGGCUAGAGAAGGGCAGGGAGAACAGAUUAGAGUUUCACGAAGGGCAGCUUCUAACAUGCUGUCAUUCAGUGCUGGAUGUCAGCCAGUUCUCCAUCAGUCUGCAUGUAAAAUCUUGUUUGUCCUGGCAUUGAACUGCUUUUUCUUACUGCAGAAAAACUACUCUGGAUCUACCAGAAUGAAAGUGCUGAGUACUCAGCUUGAAACGGAGAGUGGAAGAUACUGUUAGCCUGCAUUUUUCACCCAUGGAAGAGGAUGAAGUUCCAUCAAAGCAGAACAACCCCCUUCUUGGUCUGUAGCGUUAUCCCAAAACGUUCACCAACUUCUGAUAUUGCAGGAGAAACAACAGACUCAUGUUUGGAGUAGGGAGAAUGGCAGUUCAGAAAGUGCCAUGGUAACAUGUCCAUGGAUCCAGGGCACCUGUUUUGGUGUUUGCUGUAACUUGUUCCAGAAAGCAGGGAUCACACUGGGACUGAGACUCUUGCAUGGAUGAUGGUGAUUUCCACCUCUGAACCUGUGCCAGCAUGGAGCAGAGUUCAAUUCCUAAAAGACAGCCAGCAUGCCCAUGCCCCAAAGUCAAGGACAUGACCUGUAGGCACAGCCAGAGACUGUCUUCAGCAAAGGAAGAACCAUAAGUCUGGAGACACAGAAGCACACUUCAGCAGAAGAAAUUGCACCCUUUUCACACCUGAAGUUUGAAACAUCUGUGUGGGGGCAUGAACAGCUGUGGAAGUAGGGGUUUUCCAGGUCUGUCUCCUAACAAGGCAUUUGGAAUCACUGAGUUGAGGUAGAUUGCAGCCCUGUUGAUCUUUAGGCUCUCAUCAAUUGCAGUCCAGGUAGCAAACUGCUACAGAACUUUGUUUCCACUAGCCUGAGGGCACUUUGAGGGGCAGCUAAGUUUUGGAUGACAACUCCUAAGUUUAUUUUGAUACUCUGAAGGAGAAAAAUAAAAGCAGAAUGGGUGGUAGCAAUAUUAUUCAUGGGAGAAUUUGGUUCCUAGGCUGUGCUCUCCCUAUAGGCCCUGAAAUGGGCAGCAUUGGGAGACAGGGAGCAUGAGAGACUUCUGCUGCAUCAAGAGGGGACAUCAGCUGUUUGUUGCUUUCUUACUCUUUCUUGUUCAUGUAAAUGAGCAAUGACUACUGUAAAUGAUGAUGAGAGCUGGAGACCGCCUUCUGCCUCUUCAGUGGCAUUUUCUUAGAAAAAAAAAUUAUAUGAAACAAAAUUCAAAACAGAUCAUGCUAAAAUGCUGUCGACAACUUGCUAAAUGUUCAUUCAGGAAAUUCCUGUGAGCUUUCCUGUCAUUUGAUAG